rnacentral:misc_RNA from 1 species
CAUCACUUCUACUGCCUCCCUCCUGCCUCCCUCCCAACCCCCCCGUUCUCUGCCCUUUGUUGCGGCACCAUCCCCACAGCCUGCCAUUUUUUCGCUCCCUUUGCCAUCAGUCGCCCUCUUUUUCGUCUUCGCUGUCUUUGUGUGCCUGUCCGUGUCCGUGUGCUUGUGUCUCCCAUUGCCAUACACCCAUCAUCGUGCGCUUGUUUUCUUCUUGCGCUACCUUCUCGCGAACUUUCCCUUAGGCUUAUAUACCCUUUAUUCACGACUCCCCCUUCCCUUCCCUUCCCUUCCCUCAGCGCACACGUGUGUGUUUCUUGAAAAUGGGCUGCGGUGCUUCUUCUGAGAACAGCAGCGUCACGUACGUGAACGGCAAGCCCACCUUCACGGGUGAGGAGGUGACGAAGGGCUUCGAGAAGGACAAUGGGCUGCUUUUCCGCAUCGUGAACAAGAAGAAGAAGCAGUGGGCGUACUACAACGACACGACGCAGUACGAAAUGCACGUGCUGGUCACCUUCAACGAGGACUGUGACAUCAAGGCUCUUGGCAAGACGAAGCUGGAGCAGCAGGAGAACGGCGAGUGGGUAGCCUCCGUGGUGGUGUACCCGUGCGAGACGGAGAUGUUCAUUGAGGGCCGCGUGAACGGCUUCAAGUCGAAGAUGGACGCCUUGCCGCUGUCGGAGGAGUACCGCCAGCGUCAGGCGGAGAAGGAAAAGUAGAGCGAAAAACCAAAUGAAGGUCGACAAAGAAAAAAAGCGCAGAAAGCAGACGAGAGUGUUUCUUUAGAUGCGGGAGAGGGAAGGGGAUGCAGAGGAGAGCGGGUCCAUGGAAGUGGGGUGCAACACCAGUGGCCGAGCAGAGGCACACUUGGAAGCGGGUGCCGAGAGAAAGCUGUGCGUGGAGUGUGGGUGAGGACGGGAGCGAGAUACUGGCGUGAGGGACGGGCCGAGGUUUUGGCGCUGUUUCUCUUUGUAUCUCUCUCUUUGAAGCCUCUCGCUCCCCCAUCUCCACGAUCUCUCUCUCGACAUCACUGUCCGACUGCCCACGUACUCUCAGCCCUCCUUUCUUCACCCCUCCUUUCCCACCUUCCUGUCUUUCCUCACCCAUGCACGCACGCGCAAACACACACGGAUUCCUUUAUGUGUGCAAAGACCGGAGACGUUAUGAACGGUGUAGGUGUCUUUGUCUAUGCUUGGGGUGAUGAUGUCUGGUUGAGGUGGUGUUUGUCUCCCUCUCUACUCCUUUCACUCCCCAUUUCGAACCGUUGGAGUGUCUCUCUCCUUGUUUCCCUGCCACCGCACCACGUCGUCCUCCGCUCGUUUGAGUGGUGUUGGUGGUGUCUGUCGUGUCUUCUUAUUCUUGCCGUCUAUAUACGUAUAUAUAUAUAUAUACAUACAUAUAUAUUUUUUGCUCUUCUCAUGUGGGUGCGUCCGCCCCGCCUCCCUCUCCAAACGAAGAACAAAAAGGCAGAAGACGUUCUCUCCUUUUUUUUGUUUCUGAAUGUAUUUUCGUUUUCUGUUUGAUGUUUUGCCCCCCCCCCCCCCCCCCCCCACCUCCUUUUUUUGUUUGGUCUUCCUCUUCACUUUUUUUCGCGGGUAUGCCGCGGGGGGGGGAUGAGGGAGUGCUCAAGGACUCCGCUUUCUUGUCUUUGGUUCGUUUGCUUUGUUUUGCAUUUCUUUGUAGACCUUCCUCUCCUCCCCCUACCCCCCCUACAUCCCUCUCUAGGCAGACACACAGGCACUCACUCAUUCACUCACAGCCACGCACACACUUCCAUACAUGCCCCUCACAGCCGUCUCUGACCAUUCCUGCGCUUUUACCGUGUGAUCACAGCUGCCCUUGUUUGCGUGUGCGCGCGCGCCUUCCCACUCCGGCGGGCCGGGGGUGGAGACGCACAGGCUUGCGCAUGUGUGUUUGUGUGCAUGCGUUCACUUCAUCUUCGCGCGCUCUCUCUAGCGCUAGGUAAAGAGGCGAGUAAGUGCGAUGGCAGCGCUAGUGAUGGGGAAGAUCGCAGAGGCCUGUGCAUAGGUGUACACCGGAACGACCCCCAUCUCCCACCCUCCUCUUUCCUUCCCCUUUUACCUUCAGACCUUUAGCUGCAGCGCACGUCUUCGCACACACGCACAUGCAUGCAAGUGAGGCCGGCAUGCGCAAAGACGAAGGAGAGAGGGAGCGAGAGGGCCAAGACGGCGAUCAACACGGUAGCUGCGAAAGAGGCACGCAGCAGGUAAAAGACGAAAAAGAGCAUGUACGAAGCAGCGGCGACUGAGCGGCUGCGGCGACGGGAGGAAGUGAAGGGAGGGAGAGGUGCCGCAGGACGGACGGAAGAGAGCGAGGAACAGCGACGUACCCGAACGCAUCGACGUGUGUGCAGGCGCCUGCUGGGAAUAGCUAUCACGUGGCAAACCGUGUGUCGCACGCGCGCCAGCAGGAUUAUAUACACACACGGGCCGCUGUGCCUUUGCUGCUCUUCUUGCUCUUGCGUCGUUUUUUUUCCUGUGUGUGUGUGUGCCCUUUCCCCCUCCCUCUGCGUUUCUGCAUCAUCUGUGUAUGUGUGAACUUCGUGUGUGUACUGGCUUUCUUACUGAUCCAUGUACGUCUGAUUCCCUCUCUCUAUAUGCGCAUCUUCUUCCUUUCUCCUUCUUCGAAGUUUCUCCACGCAUGCCUGUGUCUCUGUCUCCGCGCGGGUACCUUCAUGCGUGUGCGCGUGCACGUUUUUUUUGUGUGGUUUGCUUCCGUUGUGCCUCUUUUCGUUCUUCAAAGGUCUUUUUCGUUUAGUUUUACAUAUAUCUAUGUACGUAUGUGCAGGUAUAUAUAUAUAUGUUUUUUUCUUUUUUCGACGGCCCUCUACCGUUUCCACCUACCUACACUACUAGUAGAGUGAUGUACAAGAUGUCUCUCCUCCAUGUCUUCUUCCCUUCUCCCCCGCCUUCUCGUGUGCUACAUGCGUGAAAUGCUCUUGCGUAUUUGACUGUAUGGGACUCGUCCUCUUUUUUUUUGUUUCUUGUUCCUCUUUUUUUUGUUCGUCAUUGAUGUUCUCUUUCCGUGCGUGUGCCUUUGUGUGUAAGGUGACCCGGUGGAUGGGAGGGGAGGGUAUUCGCCUGCCUCUGACAUGGCCUUUUUGUGUUUGCCUCUUUUCGACGUAUUUUCCCUCCCUCCUCCUUUUCCCUCGUCUUGUUAUUAUUUUUCGCAUUCUCCUUGCGCUUAUGGGACCCCACUCUAUCUCCUCUCCAUCUUUUUCUUUCCGCGUUCAUGCCCGUCCUUGCCUUGCCUCCUUCCACUAGCGCCGCGGCCUCGCUUUUUCUCCUCUCUCUUAUUCCACAUCUUUGUCUGCGUAUGUGUGCUUGUGUGUGUGUGUGGCGUGUGCGCGCCAUUCUUGCGCUGUCGGCUCACGUCUUUGUUGCUCGGAAGCCCUCAGGCCUCCCCCUCCCUCUCUCUGGUCCCUUCCAUCGCUGUCAUCUGCACGUCCCUCUCAUGUCUUUGCUCUCUCCCUCUCUCACUGCCAACAUUCUCCUUCUGACAUAUACGCAGAGAGAGACAUAUAUAUGUAUAUAUGGAGAGGGGGCGAGCGAGCAAGCUUUCGAGCGUGACGAGGCCGAGAGAACCGAGGUACAGUGGUACGCAGAAGGGGAGAAGGGGUGCUGGUGGUGGCCCAGAGGCGCGGCCCUACGCGAAAGGCCACCGCAAGCUUCUCCUCCCCCUCCCCCUCUCCUGCGUGUGUUUUACUGCCUUCAACCCUGAAGGCCAGCUACGCCUUGAUCGCACGCGCGCGAGAGACACACGUAGCGCCACGCCACGCGCGGAUGGGAAACCAGCCAAGCGUCGAUGAAGGAGCGCGAACAAUGCCAACACACAGCGGGAAACAGGCAAAGGAGGAAAGAUCAGACAAGCGUUCAUUUUCACGCGAAGUGAAGUCAACUGCAAAUGAAGCUGUCAAGACGGAGACACCACCUGUGGGGAGGGGGAGGAACGAAAAGCGCAUCAAUGACCGACGUACCCGCACCCACGCCCACAUAUAUAUAUAUAUGCAUACAUACACGCAAACGCUUCAUCUCACGAUAUUUCUCGCACGUGAAACACGCACUCAGGCUGAUGCAUCAUCCUGCCCCCCUUACUCUUUUUCCGUCCUUUCUGGAUUCACUUAUUUUUAUCCCUCUUUGUAUACGUAUGUACGCAUGCGUGUGAGAGCGUGAAAAAAUGAGCACGAAAGAGGGGCAAGAGUGCAGGACAGCGGAAGGGAGAUCGAAUCAGUGAGUCCUCUGCCUAGUAGCCUGAGAUCGUCAAGCAGGGGGGGUAGGGAAGCGAAAAGAAACCAAUGACGCAAACACGCACGUAC